rnacentral:rRNA from 1 species
UACGUAGGUCCCGAGCGUUAUCCGGAUUUAUUGGGUUUAAAGGGUGCGUAGGCGGAGUGCCAAGUCAGCGGUAAAAAUUCGGGGCUCAACCCCGUCGUGCCGUUGAAACUGGCGCCCUUGAGUGGGCGAGAAGUAUGCGGAAUGCGUGGUGUAGCGGUGAAAUGCAUAGAUAUCACGCAGAACCCCGAUUGCGAAGGCAGCAUACCGGCGCCCGACUGACGCUGAAGCACGAAAGCGUGGGUAUCGAACAGG